rnacentral:rRNA from 1 species
CCUACGGGAGGCUGCAGUGGGGAAUAUUGGACAAUGGGGGCAACCCUGAUCCAGCCAUGCCGCGUGUGUGAAGAAGGCCCUCGGGUUGUAAAGCACUUUCAGUGAGGAAGAACGCCUGGUGGUUAAUACCCAUCAGGAAAGACAUCACUCACAGAAGAAGCACCGGCUAACUCCGUGCCAGCAGCCGCGGUAAUACGGAGGGUGCGAGCGUUAAUCGGAAUUACUGGGCGUAAAGCGCGCGUAGGUGGCUUGAUAAGCCGGUUGUGAAAGCCCCGGGCUCAACCUGGGAACGGCAUCCGGAACUGUCGAGCUAGAGUGCAGGAGAGGCAGGCAGAAUUCCCGGUGUAGCGGUGAAAUGCGUAGAGAUCGGGAGGAAUACCAGUGGCGAAGGCGGCCUUCUGGACUGAAACUGACAUUGAGGUGCGAAAGCGUGGGUAGCAAACAGGAUUAGAUACCCGGGUAGUC